GACGAACGCUGGCGGCGUGCCUAAUACAUGCAAGUCGAGCGAAUUUUAGAGAGCUUGCUCUCUAAAGUUAGCGGCGGACGGGUGAGUAACACGUGGGCAACCUGCCUGUAAGACUGGGAUAACUUCGGGAAACCGGAGCUAAUACCGGAUGAAACUAGAGAUCACAUGAUCUUUAGUUAAAAGGUGGCUUCGGCUAUCACUUACAGAUGGGCCCGCGGCGCAUUAGCUAGUUGGUGAGGUAACGGCUCACCAAGGCAACGAUGCGUAGCCGACCUGAGAGGGUGAUCGGCCACACUGGGACUGAGACACGGCCCAGACUCCUACGGGUGGCAG
rnacentral:rRNA from 1 species